rnacentral:tRNA from 2 species
GCCGAUGUAGCUCAGUAGGUAGAGCGACUGAUUUGUAAUCAGUAGGUCCCCGGUUCGAUUCCGGGCGUCGGCU